UACAGAGGUCUCAAGCGUUGUUCGGAUUCAUUGGGCGUAAAGGGUGCGUAGGCGGCGCGGUAAGUCGGGUGUGAAAUCUCGGAGCUUAACUCCGAAACUGCAUUCGAUACUGCCGUGCUUGAGGACUGGAGAGGAGACUGGAAUUUACGGUGUAGCGGUGAAAUGCGUAGAUAUCGUAAGGAAGACCGAUUGCGAAGGCAGCUCGCUGGGACGUUACUGACGCUGAGACGCGAAAGCGUGGGGAGCAAACAGG
rnacentral:rRNA from 1 species